CCUGAUCCAGCCAUACCGCGUGGGUGAAGAAGGCCUUCGGGUUGUAAAGCCCUUUUGUUGGGAAAGAAAUCCAGCCGGCUAAUACCAUGGUUGGGAUGACGGUACCCAAAGAAUAAGCACCGGCUAACUUCGUGCCAGCAGCCGCGGUAAUACGAAGGGUGCAAGCGUUACUCGGAAUUACUGGGCGUAAAGCGUGCGUAGGUGGUUAUUUAAGUCCGUUGUGAAAGCCCUGGGCUCAACCUGGGAACUGCAGUGGAUACUGGAUGACUAAAUGUGUAGAGGGUAGCGGAAUUCCUGUGUAGAGUGAAAUGCGUAGAGAUCAGGAGAACAUCCAUGCGAAGGCAGCUACCUGGACCAACAUUGACACUGAGGCACGAAGCGUGGGGAGCAACAGGAUUAGAUACCCUGGUAUCCACGCCCUAAACGAUGCGAACUGGAUGUUGGGUGCAAUUUGGCACGCAGUAUCGAAGCUAACGCGUUAAGUUCGCCGCCUGGGGGAUGGUCGCAAGACUGAACUCAAGAAUUGACGG
rnacentral:rRNA from 1 species